rnacentral:rRNA from 1 species
UACGUAGGGCGCAAGCGUUGUCCGGAAUUAUUGGGCGUAAAGAGCUCGUAGGCGGCUUGUCACGUCGGAUGUGAAAGCCCGGGGCUUAACUCCGGGUCUGCAUUCGAUACGGGCAGACUAGAGUGUGGUAGGGGAGACUGGAAUUCCUGGUGUAGCGGUGAAAUGCGCAGAUAUCAGGAGGAACACCGGUGGCGAAGGCGGGUCUCUGGGCCACUACUGACGCUGAGGAGCGAAAGCGUGGGGAGCGAACAGG